rfam:Gossypium raimondii Chr03_contig_8, whole genome shotgun sequence.
UGUUAAAAAUUUCAUCUAUUUCUAUUGAUAAAAACUAGCGUGGUUGACGAAAUAACCAAACAAUUACAAAUGGAAUGCUAUGUGCACAUUAUGCUGACAUACAAAGACUAGUUUUUAACUGUAGAAAUGAAUAUUUUAUUAACA